GAAUUUUAUAUAAAUAAGGUUAUAUAUAAAUUAUUUAUUUAUAUUUAAUUGGGAGGAUUAUUAAAUUUAAUUAACUUUAAUUUAAUUGAACUUAAAUAAAAGGAGCUUGUAAGUUAAUAAUAAUUUUUAAUUAAAUUAGGAUUAAUUACCUUAGGGAUAACAGCAUAAUAUUUUUUUUUAGAUCACAUAUAAAAAAUUGUUUGU
rnacentral:rRNA from 1 species